GACGUAGGAGGCGAGCGUUGUCCGGAUUUACCGGGCGUAAAGCGCGCGCAGGCGGUCGCGCAGGUCAUCUGUGAAAGCCCCCGGCUCAACCGGGCGGAUGCGGGUGAAACCGCGCGACUGGAGGGUGGGAGAGGUCGGCGGAAUUCCCGGUGUAGUGGUGAAAUGCGUAGAUAUCGGGAGGAACACCCGUAGCGAAGGCGGCCGACUGGACCACACCUGACGCUGAGGCGCGAAGGCCAGGGGAGCGAACGGG
rnacentral:rRNA from 1 species